rnacentral:rRNA from 1 species
UAAUACGAAGGGAGCUAGCGUUGUUCGGAAUCACUGGGCGUAAAGCGCGCGUAGGCGGCUUUUCAAGUCAGGGGUGAAAUCCCACAGCUUAACUGUGGAACUGCCUUUGAAACUGUAAAGCUGGAAUGCAAGAGGGGAUAGCGGAAUUCCUAAUGUAGAGGUGAAAUUCGUAGAUAUUAGGAGGAACACCGGUGGCGAAGGCGGCUAUCUGGAUUGCAAUUGACGCUGAGGCGCGAAAGCAUGGGGAUCAAACAGGAUUAGAUACCCUGGUAGUCCAUGCCAUAAACGAUGAGUGCUAGCUGUCGGGCCCGUAGGGUUCGGUAGCGCCGCUAACGCAUUAAGCACUCCGCCUGGGGAGUACGGUCGCAAGAUUA